GACGAACGCUGGCGGCGUGCUUAACACAUGCAAGUCGAACGGUAAGGCCCUUCGGGUACACGAGUGGCGAACGGGUGAGUAACACGUGGGUGAUCUGCCCUGCACUUCGGGAUAAGCCUGGGAAACUGGGUCUAAUACCGGAUAGGACUCCUGGCUUCAUGGUUGGGGGUGUAAAGCUUUUGCGGUGUGGGAUGGGCCCGCGGCCUAUCAGCUUGUUGGUGGGGUAAUGGCCUACCAAGGCGACGACGGGUAGCCGGCCUGAGAGGGUGACCGGCCACACUGGGACUGAGAUACGGCCCAGACUCCUACGGGAGGCAGCAGUGGGGAAUAUUGCACAAUGGGCGCAAGCCUGAUGCAGCGACGCCGCGUGAGGAUGACGGCCUUCGGGUUGUAAACCUCUUUCAAUAGGACGAAGCGCAAGUGACGGUACCUAUAGAAGAAGGA
rnacentral:rRNA from 1 species